rnacentral:rRNA from 1 species
AGGACGAACGCUGGCGGCGUGCCUAACACAUGCAAGUCGCACGAGAAAGGGGCUUCGGCCCUGAGUAAAGUGGCGCACGGGUGAGUAACACGUGAAUGAUCUACCUCCGAGUGGGGAAUAACUGAGAGAAAUCUUAGCUAAUACCGCAUAACACUUACGAGUCAAAGCAGCAAUGCGCUUGGAGAGGAGUUCGCGGCAGAUUAGUUAGUUGGCGGGGUAAUGGCCCACCAAGACGAUGAUCUGUA